rnacentral:misc_RNA from 1 species
AAACGUACCUCCAUCCCAAGGUGUGUCAUCAGGACCGAAUAUAACAGCAUUCCAAAGCAUUAUAUUGUUGUCAUAAGGAGCACCACUGAUACCAGCAGGCGGAUCCUGCUGUAACCGCUUAAAAUCCCUCAUCAAUCUUUUCCUAGCCGGCGUCGACAUCCUCACCGCCUGAGUGUUAAAGCGGCAAGAAUUUCAAUGAAUGUAAUUGGUUCAGAGUUGAGUUUCUUGUCUUCCUGCGUAUUGUUUUUAUCUAUGUAAAAUAAAGAGACUGUGAGUUCGCGUGAUAUGUAAG